rnacentral:rRNA from 1 species
UACGUAGGUGGCAAGCGUUGUCCGGAUUUACUGGGCGUAAAGGGCGUGCAGGCGGUCUGUUAAGUUCAGGGUGAAAGCUCCCGGCUCAACUGGGAGAGGUCCUUGGAUACUGGCGGACUUGAGGGGGGUAGAGGAGAGUGGAAUUCCCGGUGUAGUGGUGAUAUGCGUAGAUAUCGGGAGGAACACCAGUGGCGAAGGCGGCUCUCUGGGCCCUACCUGACGCUGAGACGCGAAAGCGUGGGGAGCGAACCGG